GUGGAUAUAGCUCAACUGGUCAGAGCGCCGGUCUGUGGAACCGGAGGUUGCGGGUUCGAUCCCCGUUAUCCACCCCA
rnacentral:tRNA from 1 species